rnacentral:rRNA from 1 species
AGAGUUUGAUCAUGGCUCAGGAUGAACGCUAGCUACAGGCUUAACACAUGCAAGUCGAGGGGCAUCAGUUUGGUUUGCUUGCAAACCAAAGCUGGCGACCGGCGCACGGGUGAGUAACACGUAUCCAACCUGCCUCAUACUCGGGGAUAGCCUUUCGAAAGAAAGAUUAAUAUCCGAUAGCAUAUAUUUCCCGCAUGGGUUUUAUAUUAAAGAAUUCGGUAUGAGAUGGGGAUGCGUUCCAUUAGUUGUUGGCGGGGUAACGGCCACCAAGACUACGAUGGAUAGGGGUUCUGAGGAGGAAGGUCCCCACAGUUGGAACUGAGACACGGUACCAACUCCUACGGGAGGCA